CACGGACUUCCGGCAAUUUGCCUUCGCGGUUGUUUUCUGAGCCAAUGUCGGGCCUCCUGUGCCCAUUCUACUUAACUCUAGGGAGGCGCCCUCAGAGGGAAGCACGCCUGGAACGUCGCACUGCUGGAACGUCAUCUGCCUGCGCUUCCGCCCCGCUUCCUCCUUGGGCUCUCCACGCGGGCUCUGAUGUUCCACAUGGCAGGUAUUCCGGGAAGAUGGCGGCACAGGCCGCAUAGCUUUUUUAAUUUCCCCGAAAUCCGUCAGUUAGCAACACAAAAAGCAGCUAGGAGUGCAGAGAUGGCAAAGCGAAGAAGCCCGAUGGACAGUGUCUACAGUGAAACCUGGUGGCCAGGUGACUUCAUGAAUCCCAACACGGAAGAGAGUGUGGAGAAGUGACAUCGGCCACACGAGGGCG